rnacentral:rRNA from 1 species
GACAAACAGGUCAAGUUAAGAUUUAUUUGGUAUAAAAGGAGGUUUGAGAAAAUAUUUUGUGGUAGUGAUAUUAUUUUUGUAGGGGUGGAAUCUGUACAUAAAUAAUUAUUUUUAGCUGCCUUUUACUUGAUGCCUCGAAAUUUACAGGUGAGACCGGGAUUAGAUACCCCGUUAUUGUAAGUAUAAACUUAAAUUAUUAGUACAUUUUACCUGAGUAUUACGAGCUAAAUAAUACAGGCUUAAAACUCAAAAAACUUGGCGGUGCCUUAUUUCCUUCCAGGGGAAUCUGUCCUGUAAACGAUAGUCCACGAUUAAGCUUACUUUUUUUUGUAUUUGUUAUUUGUUGUAAUAUAACAGUUUGUAUACCGUCGUCGUCAGAGUACCUUUAAAAGGUUAGUAGUUGUCGGGUUAAGUGGUUUAUUAUCAACUAUAGAAGAAAAUAAAGAUCUUUGGAUGUCAGAUCAAGGUGCAGCUAAUAAAAAAGUAGAGAUGGAUUACAGUGUUAAUUUAAUAUAUGGAUUUUAAGGUGUAACUCCUUGAAUGAAAGCGGACUUGGGAGUAAUUUAGUUACCUAAACAAGAUAGUUUAUGUGAAAUAGGUACUAAAGUGCGU